rnacentral:lncRNA from 1 species
CUAUGUGCCACUGGAUUUAGGAGAAUGUUUCAUGUUCCUGUUCUCUUUUUUAUUUCUUUGUUGUUUUUUUUUGAAAUGAUACAUGUGUUGAUGAAGACUCUCUUUUAGGUAUAUUUUUGCAUCUAAUUUGUAUGAAUCUGAAUGCAUGAAUGAGAUAGAGUGGACAAUUUAUCAAGACUGGCAUGACUGGAUGAAUAACCAAUUUGGCCAAAGCCUUGAAUUGGAUGGAAUCAUUUAUCUUCGAGCCACUCCAGAGACAUGCUUACAUAGAAUGUAUUUACGGGGAAGAAAUGAAGAGCAAGGCAUUCCUCUUGAAUAUUUAGAGAAGCUUCAUUAUAAACAUGAAAGCUGGCUCCUGCAUAGGACA